GYUGUUUYUAGCUGUUUCAUUGGSUGUAYAACKACGSSCWSKRRAKSCSSMMUCRKGGWYGRKRUKUUUCCAWUKCGCCCUUAGAGUUUGAUCCUGGCUCAGAACGAACGCUGGCGGCGUGCUUAACACAUGCAAGUCGAACGUGAUCCGGAGCUUGCUCCGGUGAAAGUGGCGCACGGGUGAGUAACGCGUGGAUAAUCUGCCCUGGUAUCUGGGAUAACAUCUCGAAAGGGGUGCUAAUACCGGAUAAGCCUACGGACUCUUCGGAGUCUGCAGGAAAAGGUGGCCUCUAUUUAUAAGCUAUCGUAUCAGGAUGAGUCCGCGUACCAUUAGCUAGUUGGUGGGGUAAUGGCCUACCAAGGCUACGAUGGUUAGCUGGUCUGARAGGAUGAUCUGCCGCACUGGAACUGAGACACGGUCCAGACUCCUACGGGAGGCAGCAGUGGGGAAUUUUGCGCAAUGGGGGAAACCCUGACGCAGCAACGCCGCGUGAGUGAUGAAGGCUUUCGGGCCGUAAAGCUCUGUCAGAGGGGAAGAAAUGGAACUGGCUAAUAUCCAGUUUUCUUGACGGUACCCUCAAUGGAAGCACCGGCUAACUCCGUGCCAGCAGCCGCGGUAAUAC
rnacentral:rRNA from 1 species